CUCACCACAGAUGACUGAUGCCACAAUGACACUCAAAUCAUAACACAAUAUAGAAUUAUAUAUACUUGAUUAAAUGCUGUUGGCUCACCUGUUUAUUCUGUGUAAAAGGCCACUUUUUUUCUCCAUUCUUCACAAAUAGUCAUACCUUUAUGAGUUAAAGUUUGAGUGAUUGAGAGCAUUCUGUUUGUAUUGAUGAUGAGGAGAAAGAGUUGCAUCUUUUUAUUGAUGGCUACUUUGCAGAUAAUAAGCUGGUUUAUUGCAGCAGCUCAGCCCUUUUCACCCUUGGAUCAUAGAGCUCUUCCUCUUCAAAAACAAGGCACAAGCCACAGCAUACAUUCUGCCUGGCACUCAAAACAAUUUGAAGGAAUGAAAAUGGAGAAAGUUGAAGAAGAGAAGGCAUAUAAGCUAGGGAGGAGUAGACUGGGGUCAAGACCACCAAACUGUGAUCACAGAUGUGGGGAGUGCAGCCCAUGCAUUGCCAUUCAAGUGCCAACCAACACUCAACAAUUGCAUCUCCACUUUGCUAACUAUGAACCUGAGGGCUGGAAGUGCAAGUGUGGCUCUGUCUUCUUCACCCCUUGAAAUAUGUAGUUGAAACAAUUUAUCAUGGAUAAUGAUAAUGUGUUUAUGAUUGAGUUUUAUCAGGUGUAAAAAUUUACUACAUGUUUCAUGGUCAUUUCAAGGUUUUCAGAGUUGUUAACUUCAUUUUUGUUGCUUCAUUAGUAAUUAUUCUGGUUAAGAGGUCUUACUGUAGUUUUUUAGCUGGAACAAAUGUUUGAAGUCUAAAAAUAUCGUACAUCCAUCAAGUUUCACUGUUUCAGUGAAAAUUGUAUUCGUUUUGAUGAAAUAUAUAAA